CCUACGGGAGGCAGCAGUGAGGAAUAUUGGUCAAUGGACGCAAGUCUGAACCAGCCAUGCCGCGUGCAGGAAGACGGCUCUAUGAGUUGUAAACUGCUUUUGCCGGGGAGCAGAGGUCCGGACGUGUCCGGGCCGGGAGAGUACCCGGAGAAAAAGCAUCGGCUAACUCCGUGCCAGCAGCCGCGGUAAUACGGAGGCUGCGAGCGUUAUCCGGAUUUAUUGGGUUUAAAGGGUGCGUAGGCGGGCAUUUAAGCCGGCGGUCAAAUGUCGGGGCUCAACCCCGGCCUGCCGGCGGAACUGGGUGCCUUGAGUUGGCGAGAAGUAUGCGGCAUGCGGGGUGUAGCGGUGAAAUGCAUAGAUAUCACGCAGAACCCCGAUUGCGAAGGCAGCAUACCGGCGCCCUACUGACGCUGAGGCACGAAAGUGCGGGUAUCGAACAGGAUUAGAUACCCGAGUAGUC
rnacentral:rRNA from 1 species